AUAUAAAGUCAUAUCAUCUGCAAACAGGGACAAUUUAACUUCCUCUUUUCCAAUUUGGAUACCUUCUGAUUCUUUCCCUUGCCUAACUGCUCUGGCCAUGAUUUCAAGUACUAUGUUGAGAAGAAGUUAUGAGAAUGGACAUUUUUGUCCUGUUUCUCCUCAUUUCUUAAUUAAAUUGGUUCUUUGUUGCUGAGUUAUAAAAGUUCUUUAUAUAAUCUGUAUAUCAACUCCUGAUCAAAUGUAGAUUUGUAAAUAUUUCCCCCAGUUCCACGUGUUGUCUUUUUAUUCUAUUGAGUGUCCAUUGAUUCCUAAAAGUUUUUAAUUUUGAUCAAGUCUAAUUUAUCUAUUUCUUCUGAUAUCUGUGUUUUUAGUAUCAUAUUCACAAAGUCAUUGCCAAAUCCAAUAUCAUGAAACUUUUUCCCUGUGUUUUCUUCUGAGAGUUUUAUAAUUUUAAGUAUUAUGUUUAGGUCUUUGAUUCAUUUUGAGUUAAUUUUGUGCAUGGUAUAAAGCAAGGCUCCAACUUUAUUUUUUUGUACGUGGGUAUUUUUCCAACAUCAUUUACUGAAACGAUUGUCCUUUUUGUUGAAUGGUCUUGGCAGCCUUGCCAAAAUUUCACAUACUUUAAGUCAUCAGCAUUUUCCUUCCAGUUAUCUUACGUCAAAUUGGCAGCCAGUGCCCUGCUUCUGGUUUUCAUGUUGUCUUUUAUAAAAUGGUGGUUUGGACCAUGGAAUGCCCUUUCCACAUGGUGGGGGAGGCCUCACAAUCAUGGCGGAAAGCGAAUAAGGAGCAAAGUUACGUCUUAGGUGGC
rnacentral:lncRNA from 1 species